rnacentral:rRNA from 1 species
GGACUACAAGGGUAUCUAAUCCUGUUUGCUCCCCUUGCUCUCGCGCCUCAGCGUCAGGUGCAAGCUAGAGAACCGCUUUCGCCACCGGUGUUCCUCCACAUCUCUACGCAUUUCACCGCUACUUGUGGAAUUCCGUUCUCUCCGCACGCCCUCAGAGCCCUGCAGUAUUAAGUGCCGCGCUGGAGUUGAGCCCCAGCAUUUCACACCUAACUUACAGGGCCGCCUACGCGCCCUUUACGCCCAGUAAAUCCGACUAAUGCUUGCACCCUCCGUAUUACCGCGGCUGCUGGCAC